GACGAACCGUGCAAACGUUAUUCGGAAUCACUGGGCUUAAAGCGUGCGUAGGCGGCUCAGAAAGUUGGGUGUGAAAUCCCUCGGCCUAACCGAGGAAUUGCGCCCAAAACUACUGGGCUUGAGGGAGUUAGAGGUGAGCGGAACUCACGGUGGAGCGGUGAAAUGCGUUGAUAUCGUGAGGAACACCGGAGGCGAAAGCGGCUCACGGGGCUUAUCUGACGCUGAGGCACGAAAGCUAGGGGAGCAAACGGG
rnacentral:rRNA from 1 species